rnacentral:rRNA from 1 species
UACGGGAGGCAGCAGUGAGGAAUAUUGGUCAUGGACGAGAGUCUGAACCAGCCAAGUAGCGUGCAGGAAGACGGCCCUAUGGGUUGUAAACUGCUUUUAUAAGGGAAUAAAGUGAGAGUCGUGACUCUUUUUGCAUGUACCUUAUGAAUAAGGACCGGCUAAUUCCGUGCCAGCAGCCGCGGUAAUACGGAAGGUCCGGGCGUUAUCCAGAUUUAUUGGGUUUAAAGGGAGCGUAGGCCGGAGAUUAAGCGUGUUGUGAAAUGUAGAUGCUCAACAUCUGAACUGCAGCGCGAACUGGUUUCCUUGAGUACGCACAAAGUGGGCGGAAUUCGUGGUGUAGCGGUGAAAUGCUUAGAUAUCACGAAGAACUCCGAUUGCGAAGGCAGCUCACUGGAGCGCAACUGACGCUGAAGCUCGAAAGUGCGGGUAUCGAACAGGAUUAGACACCCUGGUAGUCCGCACGGUAAACGAUGGAUGCCCGCUGUUGGUCUGAAUAGGUCAGCGGCCAAGCGAAAGCAUUAAGCAUCCCACCUGGGGAGUACGCCGGCAACGGUGAAACUCAAAGGAAUUGACGGGGGCCCGCACAAGCGGAG